rnacentral:rRNA from 1 species
GAUCAUGGCUCAGGACGAACGCUGGCGGCGUGCCUAACACAUGCAAGUCGAACGGAACUGUUUUGAAAGAUUUCUUCGGAAUGAAUUUGAUUUAGUUAGUGGCGGACGGGUGAGUAACGCGUGAGUAACCUGCCUUCAAGAGGGGGAUAACGAUUCUGAAAGAAUGCUAAUACCGCAUGAUAUAUCGGAACCACAUGGUUUUGAUAUCAAAGAUUUUAUCGCUUGAAGAUGGACUGCGUCCGA